UUCAAAUGGAAAAUCUUUAUUCUUCUCAUUGUGCUAUAUAUCUUUUCUAAGUUAAAUUUAAUUUCAUGUAGUGAAAUGCAGAGAUCCUACGUCUACGGUUCAUGAGUUUUGGCAGUGAUAUAUAAAAAUGCUGUGAACAUUUAUAUACAGUUUGUGAACAGAUGCUAACAUCUCUUUUGGGUAAAUACUCAAGAGUUGAAUUGCUAGGUUGUAAAGUUGAUGUAACUUUAUGAGAAUCUGCCCAAGAGUUUUUCAGAAUAGUUGUGCUACUCCACAUUUCUGUUACUUUCUUCUGUUUCUUUGUCCUUGAAACUGAAUAAAAAAGAGUUUAUUAAACUAUAUAUAAUUUGGCUUAACAGGAAACACACUUCUUACUUGCAUAAGAAUGUGGAUAUUGCCACCUAAGUGGUAUAGGCAAAUUAUCUUAACUUUUCUCAGCCCCAGUAUUUUUCAUCUUUGGAGAUAAUGUUAACUGCCUAGCAAGAGUCAUUUUUUUCUGACAAAUUGUAUGAAAGCAGUUUGAAGAGCAUAAGGCACUGUGCCAGGAUAAGAUAGUAUAUUUUUCUAGGUACUAAUCUGUAGCCCAAUUCCAUAGUAUUUUGGUUAUGUCUCUUGAAACAAAGACAUUCUAAGUAUGUUUACUUUGAAAUUAUUCCUGAAGCUCAUAAUUCAUUCUUAGAAUAAAGAGUUAUUAGAUGAAAUUGAAUGGUUAUUUUCUAUUUAUUUAUUCAUACCCCAUCCCAUUACAAAAAAAAAUAUUUCAAGGUGAUUUAGAGAUUAAUUUAUCAAGAAAAACAGGUGCUUAAGUGUUUCUUGUUUUAUCCACUCAGUGGCACUAUUGGAAUAUAAAUGAAAAGCUGUGUUACACAGUUCUUUGUGGUUAGAAAUACUGCUUUUACUCAGUUCUGGUGCCAGGUUACUAGUCUUUCUACUCUGCAGUACACAAGAUGGUAAACUCAGUGGAAAAUGAUGUCAUAGUGUACUUGGGUUAUGUGGGAAAACAGUUUGGCAGGCACAUCUUUUCAGAUACUCUUAGCAUUUACAAUGGACAAAGGUCCUUUGGUAUCACAAAUAGGCCUUUGAAUCUUCUUGAAAGUGAAAUUGAAGUCCUCGAUUUUUCUUUCAGUUCUUUUAUCUUUCCUUUUAUUUGCUAAUAAAUCUUCCAUAGAUAAGAACACAAAUACCUGCUUCUGAUGGUGAUGAUACUGUUCUGUAUGCAUAUGAACCAAAUACUGCAUGUUUCAAUAAACAGGAGAGUGUUCAUUCUGAAACAUUCAAAAUGGAAGAUCAAGAAAAAACAAUUCAGGACGUCGUCACUUACUGCCAGGCCAUCUAUGAUGCCAUUCAAAACCUGGAUCAGAAGUUUGAUGUUAUUCACGAAAAGAUUUCAAAAAUCGACCGUUCUGUGACAUCAAUUUGGCUAAAUCACGUGUUAUAAAAAUAUUUUCACAACUAUGAUAAGCCUCUGGUUUGUAAAGAUGCCAAUCAGAAGCGAGAGAACUAAUAAGGGCCGAGCAUCACUUGCUGUAGCAGCAAAUGGGAAGCUAAUCCUAUGUUGGAAAAAUGCUAAAGUUUAGGUUUGAGAAAUGUAUGGCAAUGGGUAUUUCUUUGUUUGUAAACUUACUAUAGAAAAGGAUCUUAAAAGAUCACAUUGAGGAGGGAUAAAACUAAUCAAAAUAGAGUAUCAGUCUUUCAUAAUAUAAAGCAAUGCUUCAUGGAAAAUAAGUUAUAAUACGUUUACUAUUUAUGUUAUUUCCUUUUCUACUCAUUCACAGUUGGUUUUU